rnacentral:lncRNA from 1 species
ACAUGGAUACAGUCUAAAAAGUCAGGAAAAAAAAAUCUCAAAAAGACAAAGGAAAAAACAGAAAAGCCGGUCCAUAGGCUCUCUCUUAAGUACUAAGCAACAAAGCUAGCAAUCCAGUUAGCAGUGUUAUUAAUCUCUCGACAAAUAUAUCUAGUUUCAAAAGCAUUGCGCCCUUCUAAAAGCCUUUAAAUAUCCUAGA